UAUAGAAUUUUGAUUUAAUUAUUAUUAUUUUUAUUUAUAUUAACUAUAUAUAAUAGUUAUUAACUUAAUAUUAAUAUAUAUAGUUAUUAAUAUAUAUUACUAUUUACUAUUAUAUAUAAUAUAUUAUCAUAGCAGAUUAGAUUAAUCAUAUUAGAGCGGAUCGGCCCUAAGGAAAGGAUAAGAUAAGGGUCCAAUCCAGAUCCUAAUGAGACAUUUCUCUGGUUUGAUUCAGAAAGGGGGGAGAUAGAACGAAAAAAAAAAAAAAUGAAUAUCGACCGUUCCAUUAUUCAAAACCGCACGGGAAAAAUGAGAGGGGGGGUGUAUAUGUGGGAUAUCUCUAUCCAUAUUGAAUUUCAGAUACAUCAAUGAUAGAAUCAUUUUUGAUUUGAUUGGACCAAAUACGGGCCCUCCGAUAGAGAUGAAAGAAGAUGGGCAAGAAAUAAAAUAGGAGUAGACGCUUUUCGAUAUAGGAAUCAGUAUCUAAUGAAUUAAAUGGUUCCGACAUAAACAUAAAUAAAUGAAAGAGGGGGGUUGGAUCACAAU
rnacentral:misc_RNA from 1 species